rnacentral:rRNA from 1 species
UACGUAGGGCGCAAGCGUUUAUCCGGAAUUAUUGGGCGUAAAGAGCUCGUAGGCGGUUUGUCGCGUCUGCCGUGAAAGUCCGGGGCUCAACUCCGGAUCUGCGGUGGGUACGGGCAGACUAGAGUGCGGUAGGGGAGAUUGGAAUUCCUGGUGUAGCGGUGGAAUGCGCAGAUAUCAGGAGGAACACCGAUGGCGAAGGCAGAUCUCUGGGCCGUAACUGACGCUGAGGAGCGAAAGCGUGGGGAGCGAACAGG